UACGUAGGGGGCAAGCGUUGUCCGGAUUUAUUGGGCGUAAAGAGCGUGUAGGCGGUCAGGUAGGUCCGUUGUGAAAACUCGAGGCUCAACCUCGAGACGCCGAUGGAAACCAUCUGACUAGAGUCCGGAAGAGGAGAGUGGAAUUCCUGGUGUAGCGGUGAAAUGCGCAGAUAUCAGGAAGAACACCCGUGGCGAAAGCGGCUCUCUGGAACGGUACUGACGCUGAGACGCGAAAGCGUGGGGAGCGAACAGG
rnacentral:rRNA from 1 species